UCUUCUGCUUAGUCCCUCUUCUUUUCCUGCGUCUUUUUAAUGAAUUUCUCUUGUGAUAUUUCAGGUCUUUCGCAUGGAAACAUACAAAUAGUAAGAAAUAGUAAUCUGUUUGUUCCUUUGCAUUUUUCUCUGAUUUUUUCAACCAUGCAGAACAAGUUCUCAUGAAAAUUAUUUUAUGGAGUUCUUUUGCAUUCUCUCCUCUGUAAUUUCAAACAUGCACCACAAAAUUCUUGUUUCUCUCUAAAAUUUUAUCUGAUUUUGGUUUUAUUUCUGGAUUUCUCUUAUGAUUUUUUAGUUUCUUCAAUGCUCAAAAGCAGGGAAAUGAAUAAAUAUUUUGAGAAGAUACUUUUGUGGUUGUUCUUUUCAUCAUGCAGAUAUUGACGCCCUCUUUGCUUUUUCCUAUGCUUUUUUUCAAAAUGCAUUACCAUUUUUCUGAAGUCCUCAUUGUAUUAGCUACUAGGAAUUAUCCUUUUUAUAGUUUCUGAUGUGGGUUUCACUAUCUCUGCAUUAUUGACUUCUUUUAAAGUCAGAACUUAUGUUGGAACGAUAGUCGAUUUCCUGCAAUUUUCUAACAGAAUUUUAGUUUGGCGUUUGGAAUAUGGAUCAUAAGUUGUUGGUUAGUUGACUAUUUUUUGGAGAAUGGCAUUGAAAGUGCUGUUUUAGAAAAUAAUAAGGGGAUAUCACUGAUGCCCAUAAGGUGUUUGAUAAAAUGCCUUGUAGGAAAAUCGUGUCUAGGAGAUGGAUCUAACAGUAGCUGGUGAUACACCUUAUUGUUCAAAGUUGUAGGUUCAUUUGUUUGAAAUGGUAAUCAUAUCCUCUCAAAUAUUACUGAGCCGACUUCUUUAUGUUCUCUUUUCAUGUUGUGCAUUAUAUGGACAUUAUGAGCAAGUGGUGUCCCCAUUAACUGAGAGCUAUAGAUAUCUGCUAGAUAUUCAGAAGAAUGGCUACCAGUGAGGACAAAAGAAAGGAUGAGUGCUUUGGAAUAAUGUAGCUCAUCCAGCUGAGAGUGAUGUAUAUUUGCUUAGGUUGCUAAGGUGCACUUUUUCCAGUCUUUCUUCUUCGUUUCAUUCUGUUGCAUUUUUUCCUUUGAAUAUUUGGUUCUUUUAUGUUCUUCGUUAUUGGUCCUUAGCGAUCAAUUUUUCACUAUUGCUUAGUUUAUGGUUAUCAUCCUUUUUGAUUAAUACUUUUGCGGCUUCCUGAGAAUUCAUAGAUACAAAAUGACCAAAAUGAAAGCAUAAAUAGCAGCUGUGCAAGUUCCUUAAUAGAUAGACCUUAAGAAGUCUCCAACAACUUAUUAUAAUUAGUGGAGAAGUUCCUCCACAUGUUUAAAUUAUUGCACAUCUUUUGCUCCUAUAACUAAGCAGGUCAAGAAAAGCCAUGUCUAAUAUACACUAACAAAGAGUCUAAUUCUUAAUUUUCUAUUAGAUAGAAAAGCCACGAGUUUCGACGUGUGUGUUUAGUGGAAUUUAAAUUCCUAAUGAGGGUGUUUUGGCCUUUUCAUUGUAGGUACUUAUACGUGUCUUUUGUCUCACCACUGAACAGCCACGUAGCCUACCAGUCUGUCAUUUUUCUAAAUCGCUCUGUCUCUAUAGGAAGAUUUGGUAUGGUUUUCUAUUAUGUGAAAAAGCCAAGAAAGUUGAGAGAUGCUUGUGGACGUCUGUUUUGUGAUGUAUGGAAGGUGGUGAAAGAUAUGAAAAUUCUUGAUGGCAAAUGGGUAUCUUUUUAAUUUCUUGGUUGUAAAUAACUAGACCUAGCGAAUCUUGGAUUAUAGAUGAAAUACAACGGAGUAUUUCUCUAUUUGUUUUGAGUUGUAUAUGAUGAUAUUCUAAGAGUUCCAUACUACUAAUUUGAAUCUUGACUGAUUAUGGUAAAUUUUCAGUUUUUGCUUCUCUAUCUCGGCGUGCAUCUAUUUUUGUAUCUUUUAAACAUUUGAAUCUUGACCUUUUGAGUUUUCAGUUAUUGAAAAUCUUUACGUACUUGGAAAUUCAAAUGUUUUCGCUGUAGGACGAUUUUCUAGAUGAAUGAACUUCCUGGGAAAUUGAAUCUAAUUAUUUUGUUUUGCUUUAAAAGAGAACAAGUGUGAUCCAAUUAGUGUGUUUACUUACUCUGAACUUUGUCAUUCAUUCAGAGAUAAAGAGAACAUGUGACUCAAUUUUUAUUCUUUCCCAUUAAUAGUUAUUAAUUUUAUCUAUUUAUUUUUCCUGGGUGACAUAGGAUUCAGUUACUCAUACAACUGGGCAUCUAACUUUUAGUAUGUCUACACUUGCAGUUUCUUUAACUCAUAUCAUCAAGAGUAGUUAGCCAGCCUUUAGUAUUUAUUUGUCACUUUGUGCCAAUCAUGUCAUUGUGCAUUUUCAGCUGCUACUGAGCUCAAUUUUAACAUUGUUGGUGGGAGCAAUUAUAUUAUUACAUUUCCUUUAAUCAAGCUAUUACUUGAGUGAUAUUUGAUUAUUCAUGCUGGUACUUUAGAUUUGUUUGUUGUUAGAUUCUGAAAUCAUGUUGAUUAUUACUACAGGUUUUAUGGAAGCUAUGAUAUCAAAUCCUGCAAUUGAAGUUCCGGAAUAUAUUCUUAAACAAAGGAAUGAAAAGAAAGUCUGUUAGUGGGAUGAGGUAUUAUGCGGGUUUGUCCAUUAUAUCUCUCUUAAUGUUUACACUUUUUGCAGUUGCUAUAGAGGGUCACCAGAGGUGGGUAGUAAGAUGGCAAAACAUGCUCUUGAGAACCGAUUUUGUUUGAUCCAGGUACCUCUUACCAGUCCAUGCACUAGCGAGAGAGCUCAGCUUCAGAGGCUUCAAGAUAUACCUGCCGGCAUCCGCAGGCCUCGGAGUCCACCUCUACCUAGACUAUUCUAUUUCCUUAUCCUUUUAUAGACAUUGAUGUAUAGGGAUAUUCAAUACUACUAUAUAGAGGUUGUGACUUGUAUUCGCCCGGUUUUUGGGAGUUUUUAUGUUGAAUUGUGGACUUUCCUUUA